rnacentral:rRNA from 1 species
CAAACGACUCUCGGCAACGGAUAUCUCGGCUCACGCAUCGAUGAAGAACGUAGCAAAAUGCGAUACUUGGUGUGAAUUGCAGAAUCCCGUGAACCAUCGAGUUUUUGAACGCAAGUUGCGCCCGAAGCCUUUUGGCCAAGGGCACGUCUGCCUGGGCGUCACWC